rnacentral:rRNA from 1 species
UACAGAGGAGCCAAGCGUUGUCCGCAGUUACUGGGCGUAAAGCGCGCGUAGGCGGUCCUUUAAGUCUGAGGUGAAAGGUUCAGCGCUCAACGUGAACAGUGCCUUGGAGACUGGGGGACUUGAGUGUGGGAGAGGGCAGUGGAAUUCCUGGUGUAGCGGUGAAAUGCGUAGAUAUCGGGAGGAACACCUGUGGCGAAAGCGGCUCACUGGACCACAACUGACGCUGAGGCGCGAAAGCUAGGGGAGCAAACAGG